rnacentral:rRNA from 1 species
UACGUAGGGUGCAAGCGUUGUCCGGAAUUAUUGGGCGUAAAGAGCUCGUAGGCGGCUUGUCACGUCGGGUGUGAAAGCCCGGGGCUUAACCCCGGUUCUGCAUUCGAUACGGGCUAGCUAGAGUGUGGUAGGGGAGAUCGGAAUUCCUGGUGUAGCGGUGAAAUGCGCAGAUAUCAGGAGGAACACCGGUGGCGAAGGCGGAUCUCUGGGCCAUUACUGACGCUGAGGAGCGAAAGCGUGGGGAGCAAACAGG